GGGACCUUUGAACAAACUUCCAGACAAACCUGGCACCCCUUGAGUGAGAUGAAUGUAGUAAUGGAUCAUAUUAAGGUCCCAAAUGAACGUCCUUCUCGAGUUGAGAUUAAAGAGGCUGGUAUCAAGGAAGAAACAAGUUUGGAAAUGCAGGCCAUUGAAAAUGAAAAUGCUGCAGAAGAAAAAUCCAAAGUGGAAGCAAUAAUUGAAGAUAAUGUCGAGGAGAAAGUGGAAAAACAAACUGAAAAUGACGUGAAAACUCUUGAUAUGGAACAACAAGUCAAUGUUGAGAAAGAAACUGGAAGUGUGUCACCUGGGCAAUCUGAAGUGACAGUGACAACGCAAGAGUUUGUGAGAAAACUGGAAAGUGAAAAGAAAAUGAUAAAAAGCAAGCGGAGUCUGUUGAAGGACAAAAAAACGGCGAAAAGCCUGUUGUUGAAGAUGUUCCAGUUGUUUCCAAAAAUGAAGAGGUCAGUGAGGGCAAGCCAUCUGUUGACAAGGGUGCUCCGUUGACAGCUGGGGAUAAAGAAGGAUUAAAGAGUGAGGCGAAAGAAGACGCUGUUGAAGUUAAAGAGAUAGUAAAGAAUGGCGAUGAUAAAAAAGUUCAUGGCGAAGCUGUUGCAAAUGUGGCGUUAGAUGUUAAAAACAAGAAGGAAACGACAGAGACAAAAUCCAAACCAUCAGUUGAAGAAAACACCGACAAAUCUACGAUAAAAAUUCGUCAGGUGUCUCAUGACGUGGAAACUGGUCUAAAGGAGGAUAGUGCAAAGAAAGAUGCUAGUAGACCGACGCGACCCGAUCUUCCAAAAAUGAAAAUUGGAAGCGUGAAAAAUGUCACUGUUGGCGGAACAAGUGCAAAGCAAGUCGAGGUUUAUUGUGUUAGACGACGGGAGAAAAAGAGCCAAGUAGAUGGCGCACCUAACAAACGAAUAUCUUGCAUUGAUCUUGGAGAUGCUGAAAGAGAGGGAUGGUUGACCAAGAAAAGCGGUGGUCAUGGAUUGGCUCCAACAAGAUGGCGACGUCACUGGUGUGUGUUAAAAGACAAUCACCUAUACUACUAUAAAACAGCAUUUGACAAAGAAGCUGUUGGGAUGAUACAGAUAGCUGGAUACAAGAUGUCUCCUGCUCCUGAACAGAAGAAACCAUUUUGUUUCAAGUGCGAAAAGGAAGGAGGAAAGGGCUAUUUUUUCUAUGCAGACAAUGAAUUGGAAAGGGAAAAUUGGAUCAAUAUCUUGAAUAUAUCAUCACGAGGCGAGCGGAAAUUCAGAGAGCCUGGGCUCGGACAGAUAAACCAAUCCACUGAACGUGAACGUAAGACGAGCGAUUCAUCGUCUCUCAGGAUCUCUACAUCAAACGUUAGACCGAGAACUUCCUCCGUUCUCGCAGGAAUCCGUUUUGACUACCAUGAUGAUGAUGAUGAUCACGUUGGUUUAAAAAGGCAAUCCAUUGCCAUUGUUUCGAACGAAGGUACCAACGUUAACGGAAAGAAUGUUGAUCCUGAACCAAGUAAGGCGGAGGAAAAAACCAACGGUCAAAACAUACUAAAGAUCGCAGAAAACUAUGGCGAAGACGCUGGUCAAGAUGUGUUUUUAGAUACAAAAGACAAAAACAUAUUGGUAAAUGGGAAUUCCGAUAUUAUAACUAAAUCAAGUAACGAGAGUUCCACGAAGUCAUUAGACACUUCCAUAAAAAUGGACGAAGAGAUAAAAGAGUCAAGCUACUCCUCAAAAUCCGAUAAGGGAGGUAAGGAUGAUUUUCAAGAAGUUGCUGAUUCUAUUAAAAAGCAAACAUUGGCUUAGACGGUUCAGAUGUAUCGCCUGAGUUGAAGUUAAGAAGGUUAUCCGCCAACUCUAAGUCAGAAAUUAUGGAUAAAGUUGUAAAAUUGCGUAUUUUAAAACAAACGUUAAAGGACAAGGAGCAAAGUAUUGAUGAAAUUGACGAAUUGUUGUUAUCCGAAGUUACUCCUGAAUCCCUUUCUGAAUGGCGAAAUAAAUACAAUGUCAUAACUAAAUUGAACGACCUAAAUGAAAACAAAGUAAUGUAGAUGGUUUAGUUGCUGAAGGAACCAAGACUUAAAUAAGAGAAUUGAAAACUUCAUCUUAACAAAACAUAAGUUAUUCAAAACGCAAUAUUUUAACAGAGACAGCUCCUAUAGAGGACUUUUUUUAAGCAUAUCGCACUGCGGAUACCUGUGCUUUUAGUAACGAAUCUUUUCUUAUUUUUUCAGUGCAGUUUAUGAUAAAAUUUUGUAGUUUGAUUUCUUGGGUUGAAUUUUAGCUGAUGUUGUAUUUAUCUAUUGUGUAGUUUUCCAUCAUGUCCGUUGUAUGAAUAAUCUGUAAUUAUUUUUCUAAUAAUUUUAGUAGAACUCUUAAGAUGGUCAAUCAUCGUUUGUAAAGAUUUUCAAUGAAAACCAUGUAAUGUAAA